GCCCUGGUAGUAUAGCCCGGCCUAGUAUGUGCGGUUGAACCCCGCACGACCCGGGUUCAAAUCCCGGCCAGGGCGCCA
rnacentral:tRNA from 1 species